GAUGAACGCUAGCUACAGGCUUAACACAUGCAAGUCGAGGGGAAACGACAUCGAAAGCUUGCUUUUGAUGGGCGUCGACCGGCGCACGGGUGAGUAACGCGUAUCCAACCUGCCCAUCACUUGGGAAUAACCUUGCGAAAGUAAGACUAAUACCCAAUGAUAUCCCACGAAGGCAUCGGAAUGGGAUUAAAGAUUUAUCGGUGAUGGAUGGGGAUGCGUCUGAUUAGCUUGUUGGCGGGGUAACGGCCCACCAAGGCAACGAUCAGUAGGGGUUCUGAGAGGAAGGUCCCCCACAUUGGAACUGAGACACGGUCCAAACUCCUACGGGAGGCAGCAGUGAGGAAUAUUGAUCAAUGGGCGAGAGCCUGAACCAGCCAAGUAGCGUGCAGGAAGACGGCCCUAUGGGUUGUAAACUGCUUUUAUAAGGGAAUAAAGUGGGUCACGUGCGACUUUUUGCAUGUACCUUAUGAAUAAGGACCGGCUAAUUCCGUG
rnacentral:rRNA from 1 species